rnacentral:rRNA from 1 species
CCAGUCGUACGAUGAAGCCCAGCUUGCUGGGUGGAUUAGUGGCGAACGGGUGAGUAACACGUGAGUAACCUGCCCUUAACUCUGGGAUAAGCCUGGGAAACUGGGUCUAAUACCGGAUAGGAGCGUCCACCGCAUGGUGGGUGUUGGAAAGAUUUAUCGGUUUUGGAUGGACUCGCGGCCUAUCAGCUUGUUGGUGAGGUAAUGGCUCACCAAGGCGACGACGGGUAGCCGGCCUGAGAGGGUGACCGGCCACACUGGGACUGAGACACGGCCCAGACUCCUACGGGAGGCAGCAGUGGGGAAUAUUGCACAAUGGGCGAAAGCCUGAUGCAGCGACGCCGCGUGAGGGAUGACGGCCUUCGGGUUGUAAACCUCUUUCAGUAGGGAAGAAGCGAAAGUGACGGUACCUGCAGAAGAAGCACCGGCUAACUACGUGCCAGCAGCCGCGGUAAUACGUAGGGUGCGAGCGUUAUCCGGAAUUAUUGGGCGUAUAGAGCUCGUAGGCGGUUUGUCGCGUCUGUCGUGAAAGUCCGGGGCUUACCCCCGGAUCUGCGGUGGGUACGGGCAGACUACAGUGCAGUAAGGGAGACUGGAUUUCCGGGUGUAUCGGUGGAAUGCGCCGAUAUCAGGAGGAACACCUAUGGGCAAGGCGGGUCUCGUGGCUGUAACUGAGGCUUAUGAGCGAAGGCCUGGGGAGCGAAUAGGAUUAUAUACCCUGGUUGUCCCUGCCGUAAACGUU